rnacentral:rRNA from 1 species
GAAUAUUGGACAAUGGGGGCAACCCUGAUCCAGCCAUGCCGCGUGUGUGAAGAAGGCCUCUUGGUUGUAAAGCACUUUAAGCAGUGAAGCAGACUCCAUGGUUAAUACCCAUGGACGAUGACAUUAGCUGCAGAAUAAGCACCGGCUAACUCUGGGCAGGCAGCCGCGGUAAUACAGAGGGUGCAAGCGUUAAUCGGAAUUACUGGGCGUAAAGCGAGCGUAGGUGGCUUGAUAAGUCGGAUGUGAAAGCCCCGGGCUUAACCUGGGAACGGCAUCUGAUACUGUUAGGCUAGAGUAGGUGAGAGGAAGGUAGAAUUCCAGGUGUAGCGGUGAAAUGCGUAGAGAUCUGGAGGAAUACCGAUGGCGAAGGCAGCCAUCUGGCCUAAUACUGACGCUGAGGUACGAAAGCAUGGGGAGCAAAC